rnacentral:rRNA from 1 species
UAAGGAAUAUUGGACAAUGCCCGCAAGGGUGAUCCAGCCAUGCCGCGUGCAGGAAGACGGCCCUAUGGGUUGUAAACUGCUUUUAUACAAGAGAAAACCUCCUUACGAGUAGGGAGCUGAUAGUAUUGUAGGAAUAAGCAUCGGCUAACUUCGUGCCAGCAGCCGCGGUAAGACGAAGGAUGCAAGCGUUAUCCGGAUUCAUUGGGUUUAAAGGGAGCGUAGGCGGUCUUAUAAGUCAGUGGUGAAAGCUCUUCGCUUAACGAAGAAAUUGCCAUUGAUACUGUAGGACUUGAGUACAGUUGCUGUGGGCGGAAUAUGACAUGUAGUGGUGAAAUACAUAGAGAUGUCAUAGAACACCGAUUGCGAAGGCAGCUCACAAAACUGUAACUGACGCUGAGGCUCGAAAGUGCGGGGAUCAAACAGG